rnacentral:rRNA from 1 species
CCUACGGUGGGCAGCAGUGGGGAAUAUUGGGCAAUGGAGGAAACUCUGACCCAGCAACGCCGCGUGGAUGAUGGAGGUCUUUGGAUUGUAACGUUCUUUUCUAAUGGAAGAAGAAAGUGACGGUACCUUAGGAAUAAGCCUCGGCUAACUACGUGCCAGCAGCAGCGGUGAUACGGAGGAGGCGAGCGUUAUCCGGAAUGACUGGGCGUAAGGGGUGCGUAGGUGGUUUGGCAAGUUAGUAGGGAAACUCCAAGGCUCAACCUUGGAACUACUACUAAAACUGUUUGACUUGAGUGAAGGAGGGGCAACCGGAAUUCCUGGUGUAGCGGUGGAAUGCGUAGAUAUCAGGAGGAACACCAGUGGCGAAGGCGGGUUGCUAGACUGUAACUGACACUGAGGCACGAAAGCGUGGGGAGCAAACAGGAUUAGAUACCCGAGUAGUC